rnacentral:rRNA from 1 species
AUGCAACACAGCAAGAUGGUAAACCGAGUUGGAACAAAGCAUAUGUGGCAGGCCCGAGCAACUUUGCCAUUACAGGGCCAUCAUGUGGUACUAGUGGAUGGAACCAGAGCAGUUCUACCACGAAAGUUUAUAAGAGAAGGCAAUUUGAUAGUAAUUGGAGCUCAGAUGCAACACAACAAGAUGGUAACCCAAGUUGGAAGAAAGCAAAUGUGGCAGGCCAGGGCAACUUUGCCAUUACAGGGCCAUCUAGCUCUGGUGGAUGGAGUAGAAAGACCAAUAAUCUUGGUAGAGGUCGAGGUGGUGGUAGAGGUGCAGUGUGGAAAUCAGAGGGAUCACACCGUGGAGGUAACAGUAGGUGGAAAGCCCAAAGAGCCAAUACCACAAGCGCCCCGAACUUCCACAUUUCAGGACCAUCCAACUUUGGUGGACGGAACAUCAAGACCGGCAAUCUUGGCCCAUGCCGUGGCAGAGGACCAGCAUGGAGAUCAAACGGACCAAACCGGGGAGGUAGCAAUGGUGGACCAAGAGGGAGUUCAAAUUUUACACUAG